UACGUAGGGUGCGAGCGUUGUCCGGAAUUAUUGGGCGUAAAGAGCUCGUAGGCGGUCUGUCGCGUCGAUCGUGAAAACUUGGGGCUUAACCCUGAGCUUGCGGUCGAUACGGGCAUGACUGGAGUUCGGCAGGGGAGACUGGAAUUCCCGGUGUAGCGGUGGAAUGCGUAGAGAUCGGGAAGAACAUCAGUGGCGAAGGCGGCCUGCUGGGCUGUUGCUGACGCUGAGGCGCGACAGCGUGGGGGAGCAAACAGG
rnacentral:rRNA from 1 species